GAUGAACGCUGGCGGCGUGCUUAACACAUGCAAGUCGAACGGAAAGGCUCCUGCUUGCCGGGCGACUCGAGUGGCGAACGGGUGAGUAACACGUGGGUGAUCUGCCCUGCACUUCGGGAUAAGCCUGGGAAACUGGGUCUAUUACCGGAUAGGACGAUGGGUUGGAUGCCAUUGUGGAAAGUUUUUCGGUUUGGGAUGAGCUCGCGGCCUAUCGGCUUGUUGGUGGGGUAAUGGCCUACCAAGGCGUCGACGGGUAGCCGGCCUGAGAGGGUGUACGGCCCAACUGGGACGGAGCUGCGGCCCGGACUCAAACGCGAGGCGGCAGUGGAGAGUGUUACACAAUGGGCGCAGGGCUAGUGCAGCGACGCCACGUGGGGGAAGACGGCAAUGGGGUAGUAAACUAAAUUCGCUAGGGACGAGGAGAAAAUGACGGUACCUGGAGAAGAAGCACCGGCUAACUACGUG
rnacentral:rRNA from 1 species